rnacentral:rRNA from 1 species
AGUGGAUGGGGAGCAACCUAGUUGUGCGUGUGUAAAGGUGGUGCCAAGAAAAGCGAUGAUCAUGUUGAAAAUCAAUUCCCGGUACCCGAAACCGACACAGGUGGGCAAGUAGAGAAUACUAAGGGGCGCGAGGUAACUCUCUCCAAGGAACUCGGCAAAAUGACCCCGUAACUUAGGGAGAAGGGGUGCCACCGAGAGGUGGUCGCAGUGAAUAGGCCCAGGCGACUGUUUAGCAAAAACAUAGGUCUCUGCAAACUCGAAAGAGGAGGUAUAGGGGCUGACGCCUGCCCAGUGCCGGAAGGUUAAAGAAGUUGGUCAGUUUUAGGAUGAAGCUAGCGACUGAAGCCCCGGUGAACGGCGGCCGUAACUAUAACGGUCCUAAGGUAGCGAAAUUCCUUGUCGGGUAAGUUCCGACCCGCACGAAAGGCGUAACGAUCUGGGCGCUGUCUCGGAGAGAGGCUCGGCGAAAUAGGAUUGUCUGUGAAGAUACGGACUACCUGCAUUUGGACAGAAAGACCCUAUGAAGCUUUACUAUAGCUUGGAAUUGUGUUCGGGCUUCCUGUGCGCAGGAUAGGUGGGAGGCGUAGAAGGUAUUCUUGUGGGGAUACUGGAGCCAACGGUGAGAUACCACUCUCAGGAGGCUAGAAUUCUAACUUAAUUAAGGACAGUUUCAGGUGGGUAGUUUGACUGGGGCGGUCGCCUCCAAAAAGGUAACGGAGGCGUACAAAGGUUCCCUCAGACUGGUUGGAAAUCAGUCGAAGAGUGCAAAGGCAGAAGGGAGCUUGACUGCGAGAAAUACAGUUCGAGCAGGGUGGAAACACGGUCUUAGUGAUCCGACGGUGCUGUGUGGAAGGGCCGUCGCUCAACGGAUAAAAGUUACUCUAGGAUAACAGGCUGAUCUCCCCCAAGAGUUCACAUCGACGGGGAGGUCUGGCACCUCGAUGUCGGCUCAUCGCAACCUGGGGCGGAAGUACGUCCCAAGGGUUGGGCUGUUCGCCCAUUAAAGCGGUACGUGAGCUGGGUUCAGAACGUCGUGAGACAGUUCGGUCCAUAUCCGAUGUAGGCGUGAGAAUAUUGAGAGGAGCCUUCCUUAGUACGAGAGGACCGGGAAGGACGCACCGCUGGUGUACCUGUUAUGAUGCCAAUUGUAAACGCAGGGUAGCCAAGUGCGGAGAGGAUAACCGCUGAAAGCAUCUAAGUGGGAAGCCCACCUCAAGAUGAGUAUUCUGGUGUAAGGUCACGGGAAGACGACCCGUAAAUAGGCACGAGGUGGAAGUGCAGAGAUGUAUGAAGCCGAAGAGUACUAAUAGACCGUCGGCUUGA